AGUAGCUUGCUACUAGACGACGACCGGCGCACGGGUGAGUAACGCGUAUGUAAUCUGCCUUGUACAGAGGGAUAGCCCAGAGAAAUUUGGAUUAAUACCUCAUAGUAUUACUGGAUCGCAUGAUUUGGUAAUUAAAGCUCCGGCGGUACAAGAUGAACAUGCGUGACAUUAGCUAGUUGGUAAGGUAACGGCUUACCAAGGCUACGAUGUCUAGGGGUUCUGAGAGGAUGAUCCCCCACACUGGUACUGAGACACGGACCAGACUCCUACGGGAGGCAGCAGUGAGGAAUAUUGGUCAAUGGACGCAAGUCUGAACCAGCCAUCCCGCGUGAAGGAUGACUGCCCUAUGGGCUGUAAACUUCU
rnacentral:rRNA from 1 species